rnacentral:tRNA from 4 species
UAAGAUGAACCCUAAAAAGUCCUUU